rnacentral:misc_RNA from 1 species
AAGUCGUAACAAGGUUUCCGUAGGUGAACCUGCGGAAGGAUCAUUAACACUUUUUUUUUCAUGUAUGGGCUAAAACUCAUAUAUGAUUUUAAACCCCCCUUCCAAUUAUAUAUUGGAUCAAUGAAUUUUGGAUAUAUGUUGAGAUGAAAACUUUUUUGAAAAAAAAAUUUCCAUCUUUUCAUAUUAUUUUUUUUAUUACCCAUUUUUAUUUUAACCCCAACACUUUUCAAAUAUACAAAUUAACUUUGACUGACAUAUUUUUGUAAAAACAAAAACAAAAAACGCUAAGAAACAACUCUUAACAACGGAUAUCUUGGCUCUC